rnacentral:rRNA from 1 species
GAUGAACGCUGGCGGCGUGCCUAAUACAUGCAAGUCGAGCGAAGCGGGGACGGGUGAGUAACACGUGGAUAACCUCCUUUAAGCAUGGGAUAACUUCGGGAACCCGAAUCUAAACCCGUUACUUAUAGCUGGAUCCGGGUUGGAUUAGCUAGUUGCUAGGGUAACGGCUUACCAAGGCAACGAUGCAUAGCCGACCUGAGAGGGUGAUCGGCCACACUGGAACUGAGACACGGUCCAGACUCCUACGGGAGGCAGCAGUGGGGAAUCUUGCGCAAUGGGCGAAAGCCUGACGGAGCAACGCCGCGUGAGUGAUGAAGGUCUUCGGAUCGUAAAACUCUGUUAUUAGGGAAGCGGUACCUAAUCAGAAAGCAACGGCUAACUACGUGCCAGCAGCCGCGGUAAUAC